rnacentral:rRNA from 1 species
GACGAACGCUGGCGGCGUGCUUAACACAUGCAAGUCACGGGGGCCCGCAAGGGUAACCGGCGAACGGGUGCGUAACACGUGAGCAAUCUGCCGUACACUGGGGGAUAGCCGGCCCAACGGCCGGGUAAUACCGCAUACGUUCUUCGGGCGGCAUCGCUUGAAGAAGAAACCUCCGGGGGUGUACGAGGAGCUCGCGGCCUAUCAGGUAGUUGGUGGGGUCACGGCCUACCAAGCCAUUGACGGGUAGCUGGUCUGAGAGGAUGGCCAGCCACAUUGGGACUGAGAUACGGCCCAGACUCCUACGGGAGGCAGCAGUGGGGAAUAUUGCGCAAUGGCCGCAAGGCUGACGCAGCGACGCCGCGUGGGGGAUGAAGCAUUUCGGUGUGUAAACCCCUGUUGCUCGGGACGAACAACGAGUUUCGACUCGUCUGACGGUACCGGGUGAGGAAGCACCGGCUAACUCCGUGCCAGCAGCCGCGGUAAGAC